rnacentral:lncRNA from 1 species
AUUCAGCUGGAAGGCAGAAAGUCCCCUGGGGCACAUCACGGGACAGUCUUUCCACCAGGAUUCACAGAGCUUUGCCAUCAUCUCUGAUCGCUGCUGCCACAGAAGACCAGCCAGCAGAGCUGCAUGUGCAGACCUGGGAAACGCUUUCAACUGAAUUUUUUUGAGGAAAAUGUACAUUUGCAAACUGAUUACUGAUAUUUUAGAGUGGAUUUGUUGGGUCUGUUUUGUCCUGUUGCCUAAACUCA